CCUACGGGGGGCAGCAGUGAGGAAUAUUGGUCAAUGGCCGUAAGGCUGAACCAGCCAAGUCGCGUGAAGGAAGAAGGAUCUAUGGUUUGUAAACCUCUUUUAUAGGGGAAUAAAGGUAUCCACGUGUGGAUAUCUGCAUGUACCCUAUGAAUAAGCAUCGGCUAACUCCGUGCCAGCAGCCGCGGUAAUACGGAGGAUGCGAGCGUUAUCCGGAUUUAUUGGGUUUAAAGGGUGCGUAGGUUGUUAUUUAAGUCAGCGGUGAAAGUUUGGGGCUCAACCAUAGAAGUGCCGUUGAAACUGGAAGACUUGAGUGGGUUUGAGGUAGGCGGAAUGCGUGGUGUAGCGGUGAAAUGCAUAGAUAUCACGCAGAACUCCGAUUGCGAAGGCAGCUUACUGGGCCAUAACUGACACUGAGGCACGAAAGCGUGGGGAUCGAACAGGAUUAGAUACCCUGGUAGUC
rnacentral:rRNA from 1 species